AGAAAAAGUGGGACAUUCCGGGAUCAAAUCGGAAACCGGGCAACUUCUCUAAAUUAGGGACGUCCCUGGAAAAUAGGGACACUUGGAGGGUCUGCACACUCUUUCCUGUCCCACACACACACACGUUAUAUUUUUAUUUGAACUUAGAGAAGCUCCGCAAACAUUUCUGUCAAUCUACCGUUAUUGGGCCAAUCAGAUCCCUGCACUCCUCAGCCAAUCCCAAAGUAUAGCUAUGGCAAAAAAAGCCCCUCCCAUAUGCCCCUAAGCAGAAGAACCAUGUGAUUGAUAGGAGUGCCCAGUGUGAAGCCUUGCACUCCAUCUGUUGUUAUGAGGGCUAACCUGCAUUCACAGUAUUGGUCUAGGAGGGCUGCCUUUAAGAGCAGUCCGAACCUGCUCAGAGCUGUUUCCUAAGGCCACACCCACAUCACAACGCACAUUCUUUGUAGGAGAAGGGUGUGGUUGCUAGCUUGAGCAGCUUUUUUAUUAUGAAUAUUUGUUGAGAGAGAGCAGUGGUGGAGAGAUUGUUUUGGCUACUGUAAGAACAGGAUGCUGGACCAGAUGGGACUUUGGCCUGACUCAGCCGAAUCUUCUGCUGUGGUGAAUGUACUGUUUAUGCAAAGACUGUCUGUUGUGGAAUCACCUUAUUAACUACAAACAAGUUCUUCAUUGUUUGAGGAAGGUGCACCCUGUUGCAUGCUCCUGGGAUUUAUUUAUGAGGCUCAUAGUUCCUAAUUAUGUCUCCUCUCCUCAAGUAUGUGAAAGGAGGUUGUGGUUUGCAAGGAGGAGUUGAUAUUAUAAGUUAAACCCCUUAGGCUUCAUCACACUAACUUCUCCGUAAGUCAAUUGGCAAGAGCCUCCUUGUCUCCAUACAUUUAAAAAAGAAAGACAAUAGAUAGAGGAUCUGGAGACUUAAAAGUCCUCCUCUGUCACUGGUGGUGUGUGGUACAUUUCUCAUAUUCUUUCAAUCAAAGGGGUUGCUAUUUAGCCGUGACUUAGAGCAGAAAUGAAACAAUACUCAGUUGGCACUUUAGAGGCUAGCAAAUGCAUUUUAUUCCAUAUUCCGGUGAGGAAGACGUAGAAAUGAGUAAGCUGUGGAAGGGAGUAAUAUUUUUCCAUAGCUCUGGAAAUUAAUAGGGUCCCUUAUUAAAAGUCCUGUGGGGUAUCUUUAAUAUUAACCCAUUCAUGCUGCAAUCCUGUACAUUCUUAUUGGGAAGCAAUCCCCAUGGAAUUCAGCCAUGUUUACCUCUGGAUAACAAGCAGUUGUGGCAUGAGUCCACACUAGAAAUUAUGGCAGCAGGGCCUCAUUCUGAACACUUGGGUGCUAAGUAUUAACAAAGCUGCUAUGAUUAUGCGUCCCCUGUUUCUUUCCAAAGGAUGAGGACAUGGAGAGAAUCAGAGCAGGUGGAGAAGAAAACAACUUUUCUCCCAGCAAAGAAGCAAUUGUGACUGGAGGGGCCCCUUCUGAACAAAAGCGCCGAGGCGGCCUGCCUUCAACAAGGAAAACCAGGCCAGGUGCCGCGCCUGAGAGGGCUUCCCUCAUUCCCGAGCAGCCACGUCGUAGGAAAUGAACUAAAGGAAACGGACUGUGAAUUUGGGAUUUCCAUUGGCCUCCCGGACCUCUCUGUUUCCCCGGGUCGUAAAGGCGCCCAUGCAGCCUUACUGACUUCAGUGCCUCUUAGCUGAGAUUUUCAUCCCAGAGGGCAUCGCAUUUUUCUCCUAUUAAACAUUCCCAGUUGUAAAUAUAAUAAGUCGCCCGGGAUCUGGACGUAUCACAGACGUAGUCUGUGAAUUAAAAAUUACCGUCACCGUUACUGUUACUACUAGUAUCGCUACUACCACCUAAAAAUAACGAUGGUGUCAACAA